GGCUCAUUAAAUCAGUCUUGGUUUAUUUGAGAAUGAACUUACUUGGAUAACUCUGGUAAUUCUAGAGCUAAUACACGCRNGAUGCGGCKACUUCACGGAAACCGCAGCUUUUGUCAGUACCAAGGCCAAUACGGCACUCGUGGCCGUUUCCYUGGUGAAUCUAGACAACAAGUGGAUCGCAUGGCCCUCGCGCCGGCGAYGCAUCUUUCANGUGUCUGCCCUAUCAACUUUCGAUGGUAGGGUAUUGGCCUACCAUGGUUGUAACGGGUAACGGGGAAUUAGGGUUYGAUUCCGGAGAGGGAGCSUGAGAAACGGCUACCACAUCCAAGGAAGGCAGCAGGCGCGCAAAUUACCCACUCCCGACUCGGGGAGGUAGNGACGAAAAAUAACGAUGCAGGGCCCAUUGGGUCUUGCAAUUGGAAUGAGUACACUUUAAAUCCUUUAACGAGGACCAAUUGGAGGGCAAGUCUGGUGCCNGCAGCCGCGGUAAUUCCAGCUCCAAUAGCGUAUAUUAAAGUUGCUGCAUUUAAAAANCUCGUAGUUGGAUCUCAGGCCCCGGAACGCGGUUCCCUUCUUGGGUAUACUGCGGUCCGGGCCUUCAAGACUCUGCGGUUUANGGNGGNGCACUUUAUUGUGUGUNGUCGUGCCCCGCAACUUUUACCUUGAAUAAAUUAGAGUGCUCAAAGCAGGCAAGUCGCCGGGAUAGUUCAGCAUGGAAUAAUGGAAUAGGACCUCGGUCCGGUUUCGUUGGUCUUAUGGACUGAGGUAAUGAUUAACAGGAACAGACGGGGGCAUUCGUACUGCGGCGCUAGAGGUGAA
rnacentral:rRNA from 1 species